AUGACAUGGUUACAUCCACUGAUUUGCAAGAAAGCCUUCGCAAGAAGAUGGUUAGAAUCUCAUGUCUUGGAUCUGUCACCCAUAGCUCCUCCUAUAGCUAUUUCUGCACAUCCAUUGCAAGUCUUGGUUCUGUCCACCAUAGCUCUUCCUUCAGCUAGUUCACCACAUCAACUGCACAAGGCCAACAAGAGAGCUUCCAUCAAGACAGAACACAAGCAUAUCAUGUUAAUUAUCUUGGAUUAUAAUACUGCCACAAGAAAUCAAAAAAAGAAGAAGGUGAGAUUAGCCUUUGUUGGUGCAAAAGUGAAUCACCUUGGGCGUAGUUUGUGGGAGACACGGCCAUCAGCCGCAGAAGGGAUGGAUGAUGCCACAAUAGAUGCCCCGAGGAGGAGAGAGUCCGCCAAGGAGAAAGGGACGAUGCAUGGCUGGAGGUUGGCUAGAAGAGAGCCGCCUUGGACCUGGGCGACGGAGGAAGGAGGCGUCGGUGCAGCAUCAGGGCCGCGCAGGUCACCGCCGCCCAGACCGUGCACCACCGCCUGCUGGUCCUCCAGAUCGUGCCCGGCCGCGGGGCGGCCAGAUCGGCACGCCGUCGCCACGGGCAAAGAAGACCGGAGACGGCGGGGCAUAGCCGCCCGCCACGCCGGCGCCACACCCAACGGUGCAGCGCCUAGCUCGGGGGCGUUGCACUCCAGUCCACCGUGGCAGCCCUGGGCCCCGGACCCAGCAGUGCGGCGAGAUGCCAACCGCCCGCUCCCCCUCCCCCCACCCCACCCAUUCGUUUCAGGAGUUACAAAACAGCGCCGGCGGCUUCCUCCUCUCCCCCUCUCAAUCCCCUCUCCCAAAUCCUUCAGAUCCGACGAUUUGGUCUGUGCAUUUCUUCACCAAUCCAUCCUAGAAGGAUGGUUUGGCUUCUCGAUGAUCAUUGGGACAAACAACACCGGUCGUACGCUAUGUCGGUGGAGCAGCGGAUGCAUGCCCUUAUCGGUAUGGUUCCUCCGGAGCCUCGGGAACCAGAAGCAGAAGAUAAGAAGAAGGAAAGAGUCGCAGCGGGCGCUACUUUCACGUGGAUAUCAUCGAACUUCAUUGGACGAAGCCUGUUGUAGGCACACUGGAGGUAUUGGUGGUUGUCUGCUCGCACUUUCCAUAUGGAGCUGGGAGCGUUUGCCGGUUGGACGACCGAAGACCGUGAAGUACGAGGAUUGGGACAACAAAGACGACCCACUACGGCUCCCCACUUGGGCUUACAAGUGGGAUGUGUUAAAUGAGACGACAGAUGAUCCCUCGGUAAUGUACAAGUUGUACAAGAGCGAGCUGGACGCGAUCACGCCUGAGCAGGUGGAAUGGGAGCCGUUGGAUAGGAAAAAGCAGCAGAAGAUCAAGGAUUGGGCCAAGCAUCACAGCAAGUAUGUCGUGCAGUUCGCUCUUAGUGUGGAGCAAGCAAGGGCUGGAAAACAAGCCCAGCUUCGUGAGCACUGCCCGAUCGCGUUCAACAACUAUCUCACAUGGUUUCUUGCAAGUACCCGCGUGGAGGUAUGCAAGCCGGCGUAUGCUGAGAAGAUUCUGGAAGAACCCACCGUUUUUUAUGAGGUAGCCCAGCACCAGUACAACGCAUUAGUCAGGAAAGGCAACUCAGUGAUCCCUUCAGCUCCAAUGAUGAACUUUGUGCGCCAGGGCCAAAAGUUAAGGCGGCUAUCAAACCUUUUCGGUUGUCGUGACCCCGAGUAUGUAUCACCAGAACGGUCUAGGUCGGCGACACCAUCAGAUCCCGCUUCGGGGCAGGGCCAUGGUGAACCUUUCGAGGAUGAGGAUGUGGGUGUGGUCACCCAAGAGGUUGCUGAUGAUAUGACCGUGGGGACGUACCAGGCUCGGUCUGCAUACGAGUUGAAGCCUAGGAAGGGAAUCAACAAGUACACACCUGAAGACUUCACCCAAAGAGGCCAAAGAGGCAAAAGGACGGUCGGCACCUCGCAGAUGGCGGCUUUGGAUGACUAUGUAGAUGACGUGGAGGAACCGGAGCCGGAGCGGGUUCCUCUUCCUAGGAAGCUAUUCAGAGAGCAACAGAAGGUAGGCCUCCAGUUUGGGGCAAAAAUUUCGCUAAGUGUUUGUGCAGCGCCUAGCUCGGAGGCGCCACACUAUACAGUGCAACGCCUAGCUGCAAGGCGCUGCACUAUAGAGUGUGGCACCUCCAAGCUAGGCGCUGCACAAGUCUAUAGCUAUCCAGAGAGCAACAAAAGCUACAGACAUGUGCAGCGCCUAGCCGGAAGGUGCCACACUCUACAGUGCAACGCCCAGCCUCUGGGCGCUGCACUGUACAGUGUGGCGCCUCCUGGCUAG
rnacentral:rRNA from 1 species